CAGGAAGUGUUGGGAGAAGCUAACAGUCAGUAAGAGGGAAGGCAGAAGCUACAGGGUGCAAUAUGGAGGUUAAAGGAUCCCUUUGGGUUAAGACUUCUCCAGCUCCUAUCUCGGAGGCGUCAAUCUUUAAAGUGAACUGCAGGUCAGGAUCAGGAUGGCGGAGCACAGGAGCAGAACAAAAGGCCUUUUUCAGACGAGAGAAGGCAUCCACAGCUUCAGGAGGCCAAUUCUUGCAGUCUCUGUACCGCUUAGUCAACUCAGUGAGUGGAGCAACUACUUGGGAGAAGUUCUUUAUAAUUAGAUCCAAUAUAAGGUGGCGCAAGUUAAUGCAGUUCUGUCUUUAGUGGUAUAAGUAAAAGUGUUGUCCCACUAUGGGUCAGAAUAUUCUCCCUAUAUGAGUGUGAGAAAGAUAUAUUCUCCCUAUAAGAGUGUAAAAAAGAGAGAUAUUCUCCCUAUGUGAAGAUAAGAAUAAAAAUAAAAAUAUAUAAACUAGAGUUCCAUAAAUCUACUAAAUGUUUAUUUUAAAAAAGUUCUUUAAAAUAUAUAUAUCAAUCAUGCAGUCUACUCACAUAAUAACAUUCUGUAUAGUAAACAAUAAAAAAUCUUAAAACA